rnacentral:lncRNA from 1 species
UUGACCUUGCAAAACCACCUAUGGUAACUUGUUUUGUGUCAAUUUCUCUGUCCUUCCCUGCUUCCUCUUUUUCUCACCACUUCCACAAUCUUCAACAGAGCCUUCAAUAAUCAUAACGUCAAUGAGUUGUCUCUUGGAACCUUUUUCCCCUCUUAUUUUUCUAGCAAAGCCUGUCUUUUUUUAUACACCUUUCUUUCUAGUCCACUUCCUCUUUGUACAACUAGUAGUUAUACCCUGCAUUAUGCCUCCUUAAUUCUCAUUUGAAAUUGCUACAGAUCCCAAAGAUUUUGCCACUAUCUUUAUGUCUAAGUUUUCUCAUUUGUCUUCUUAAGUUAUUUAUCUUGAUAUAUCCUUU